AUGCUGGCCUGGAUAAGUGACGGGCCCCACAGCCUGUGGGACCCGCCUGUCAGCCGCACAGCAGCGCGGCCCCGCCCUGCUGACUGGAUAAGUGGAAGCGUACAUCCGGUAAGUAUGUUUUCAUCUUUAGAAAGUGUAUUUUCCUGCGAGUACGUUUUCUUUCCGAGGAAGCGUAUUUCCGUUCUUCUUCAGCCCCGAAUGCAUUUUCAGUUCAGUGAAAGCGUAUUCCGCCGAUUGCGCUUUCUGCUUUUCUGUCCAGGCCCAGAUUUUGAAGUUUUUCAUUACAGAUGGGUCCCUGGCAGAAAACACCUCAUAUCUUUUUAA
rnacentral:rRNA from 1 species